AACGAACGCCGGCGGCAGGCCUAACACAUGCGAGUCGAACGCCCUAGCAAUAGGGAGUGGCAGACGGGUGAGUAACGCGUGGGAACGUGCCCUUCGGUUCGGAAUAACUCAGGGAAACUUGAGCUAAUACCGGAUACGUGCGAGAGCAGAAAGAUUUAUCGCCGAAGGAUCGGCCCGCGUUCGAUUAGCUAGUUGGUGAGGUAAUGGCUCACCAAGGCGACGAUCGAUAGCUGGUCUGAGAGGAUGAUCAGCCACACUGGGACUGAGACACGGCCCAGACUCCUACGGGAGGCAGCAGUGGGGAAUAUUGGACAAUGGGCGCAAGCCUGAUCCAGCCAUGCCGCGUGAGUGAUGAAGGCCCUAGGGUUGUAAAGCUCUUUCGCCAGGGACGAUAAUGACGGUACCUGGAUAAGAAGCCCCGGCUAACUUCGUGCCAGCCGCCGCCGUAAUAC
rnacentral:rRNA from 1 species